rnacentral:rRNA from 1 species
GACGAACCGUGCGAACGUUAUUCGGAAUCACUGGGCUUAAAGGGCGCGUAGGCGGGUGAGCGAGUCCGGGGUGAAAUCCCACGGCCCAACCGUGGAAGGGCCUCGGAUACCGCUCGUCUCGAGGGAGGUAGGGGCGUGUGGAACUUCCGGUGGAGCGGUGAAAUGCGUAGAGAUCGGAAGGAACGCCGGUGGCGAAAGCGACACGCUGGACCUCUUCUGACGCUGAGGCGCGAAAGCCAGGGUAGCGAACGGG